GCGGAGAUGGAGCGCGCCUUGGCCCGCUAGCCGGGGCUGCAGCUCCUCGGGAGAACGCGGCGCCCCCACGAGAGCCUGCCCGCCGGGGUCUCUCUGCAGGGAUGACAUCGUCCUUUCCCCUUCUCGUCUGCAAGGACCACCUGUGCCAAGGCCAAGCUGCUGCCAAGGGGCAUACGGCUGACGUCCAUCCCAUGGUACCUCAAGCCUCCGGCUGCUCUGAUAUACAUGUGAGGGCACGAGGAGCAUGGAUUCCUGGACCCCGCCAGCAUAAAGCAGCCACCACCGGGCCCCCAGGACCAGGAUGAUGAAGGAUGAAGAGGAUGAGAGCCGAUCAGCCACCUGUCCCUUCUGACUAAAAGGCUUAAACCAAUGCCCUAGUGAGGGGGCAUUGGUCCUUAACCCCUGACCUUUGCUAUGCUUGUGCCUUGACGCAGUACUCACCUGUAAGUCUCUGCUUGUGUUAACGUGCCAGCGAACUGGAGUGUUUCCCCCCUAAGGAGGUGUCAGUUCUUCUUGACUGACCCUGUUGCCCCUGGGAUAUCCUGAAAUGGAAGGAUCCCUUUGGGAACUUCUCAGGAGGGGGGCCUGGGCCAAGGGCUGAGGGCUCCACCAGCCACUCACUGGCAGUUCAAGGCUCAGGGUGGGCGUCUGGGAUGAGCAUGAGCCCGACACCAUGCUGCCGAACUGCCCAGGGCAUGCCCCCACUUUGGAGAUCUCCUUGUCUUUUCUGGGGACUAGGGACUGGGGAACGAGAAGCGCCUUCCCAGGGAAGUUGUGAGUAUUAAAUGAGAUCAGGCAGUCUGGGGUGGGCCGGGAUUUGAGGAGGUGGUCCGCAGAUGUUUGUUGAAAAGUUGGGCUGGUUGAUUCCCACCCUCUCACUUGUCUUAUUUAUUCUCCUGCAGCCGUCCAGGCAGCCCCGCCCUUGGGGUGCUCCCUGCACCAGGUAGGGGCAUGGUCCACAGGUAGGAACACCAGUGAUACUUGGGCUCAUUUAGAACUCUUCCUGCAGUCUCUGAACACAUUUACACAGCGGAGGUAUAGGCCCUGGAGGGGAGGCAGCCCCUGGAGUGAAUCCCACCUUCAUUUGAGUGCCUGGCAAGAGGGAGAAGUGGGGAGGGCCCGUAGGCCCCAGUGCCCCCUGUCCCAUGGGGUAGGACAGGCUCCCAUUUCCAGUGAGGAACUGCUGCUGGGGGAAUGUUUAAGUAUUUGGUCACAUUGCUGGCAAGACAAGGGGUCCAAGUUGGACCCUGGGUGCCCUUGCAGCGGCCCCUUGCACCCCUGGCCCCGGUCCAGAGCUCCACUGAGGGCUCUUUUAUUUCCAAUCAAACCUCGGACAAUGGGAAGUCUGUUUGAAAUCCCAGCUGUCCGGGGUGGUCUAGGGGGUCUGGGUGGCCCCAGUGCUGGUGCCCCGUGCUGACUCCACCUCUCCCUAACGAGGUGACCUUAAACAAGUCGCUUAACUUCUCCAAGCCUCAGUUCCUUUCUUGGUCUAAAUGGGGAUUAAACAACAACAACAACAAAACACACCCCCCCUCCCCGCAUGUCCCCACCCCACAGGGCGCUUUUGAAAACCAGAUGAUAGAAAGCACUUUGUAAAUAGCUGUGGAAAUUGCCAAAUACUUAACACCCCGAGGUUGGUCCCCAUUGUUCCCGUGCCCCCAGCCCCAUUCUCCCUCACUAAUAGCAGCUAGCACCCAGUAGGUGCAUUGUAGGUUCGUGCUACACAAAUCAAUGCCAGCAUCAGCAAAAACAGAAUUAAUUCAACAAACAUUUUCCGGAACACCGACAAUAUGCCCAGCACACCAGGCCUGGUAUGGGAUCAAAGAUGAUGAAAACAGUCCCUUGGAAGCUAAUUGGGGUCCUCAUUGACCAGCACUUUCUUUGUCCCCUUUCAAGUCAACCAGUUUUGUUCGGACAAGACAAAAACAGCUCAGACCCCUUCAGGGAAGCCCAGCUUGGUGUGGACAAUGGCUCCUGGGCAUCUGAAAGGGACUGAUUGGAUUAGGUGACAAAUGAAGGUGGAAGGAUGACUUGGAAGGUGACGAAUGACGUGGGCGGAGAGCUGCUUUGCGUUAAUCCAGGCCAUUAGGGCCACCUUUUGUCUUCCAGGGCUGGCAGGCCGUUUUCUCAGCCUUCGCCUCAUUCAUGGUCACUGAAAUCCAGGCCUGGUGAGGCUGCAGUGGGUUGUAGAACUAGUGUCCCGUGGCCAGUGAGUCACAAGGCGACGUUGACGUCUCUCGCUGCCACGGGCAAAGGCCUUUUUGGCCCAUCAACCAUUCAUUUGAACCUCACAACUCCCUGUCCUGACCCAGGGUGGGCGGGCCUGCUGCCCCCGAGUGGAACAGAGGCCCUCAAGCGGUUCUUCAGAUUGGGGAUUCAGCCACAUUCGCACCCCCAUGGCCUCUCUCCUCGUAGAGGCAGAGGUGGCCUCUGUGCUGGUGCCCUCUUCUCACACCUGAUUCCCUCUGAAUUCUAAGGUGGCUCUUUCCACAGUCUGCCCUGUCCAUCUUUCUAGCCACGACGGUCUCUUUCUUUCCUUCGCAGCCAAGCUUCUCGAAAGGCCUGUCCACUCCUGCUGUCUUCCUUCCUCACCUCCAAUUUCCUCCUCAACCCACUGCUUCCUGACUUGCUCUCCUCCGAUGAAGUCUCUCGCUAAGGUAAUGGCUUUUCUGUCGCUUCACCCUGGACACGUCUCCUGCUCUCGACACACGACAGGCGUCCACUCUCUCACGUGGCCUUUCGCUCCGGGUCACUCCUGUUGACACCCAUUCCCCAUCGACUCCUAGAGACCCCUGCCCUGGGCUCCCCUCGUCCUCAGUGCCCCCCAGUCAGGUCUCCCAGCUUCUGGAAGCUUCCGCUGGCCCUGCCGCCUGGUUAGGGCCAAGGCCUCGCAGCAGGCCCCCUUCUCCAAGCCCCUUUCCUCCCACGGCGUCGUCAGCGUGGUCUCUCCCUGGCGGGCCGGGCAGGUGUUGGUGGGACUUGCUCUCAGGGCGAUGAGGUGUUCGGGAGACUGCCUGGUUGGAGUUUUUCUUAAAGAUUAGGGUCCCACGGGAAGGACAGACAGAAGAAAGACGUGGGAGUGGGAAAGACUGAAAAAAGGCAUUAAGACAAAAAGGGAACGGGAGUCGUAGAAGAUAUUAAAAUCCCCCCCCAACCCCAACAUCCAGAAAGCUGCCCUCCCUACAAUCUUGGGCUGAGAGAAAGUAAACAGGAAAGAGAUUUUGACUUCAUUACCCCAGUGACAAAUCCCAGGAAGCUUUCUAAUCAAAUUGUCCCAUUUUGGGUUUUUAACUCCUUCUAUCAGGUUUAACCUCUUUACCUCCUGAAUCCUGGAUAAACCCCCUCGCUCCCCCCCACCCCCCGCCCCUCUUUGCUGGUGAUUAAAUCUGAAGGUACAUGGCGUCUUUCAGGGAAUCAAUGGCCCACAGAAGGGGCCCUCCCCACCCCCAGCUGUGUUUUUCAGUUUUAUUCCACUUUGCGCCCUUUCCCCUUAAUGAACACGAGGCUAAUCUCGGGCCUCGCGGAGGAAGAGCCUGCAGACGCUAAUGAGGCAGCUGCUGGAUUCCAAUAUUCAGCUCAUAAGGGGCCUCCUUUGUCUGCAGGGAAAAGCACCCUGAUCAGCAUAAUGAGGUGAGCGCGGUCCUCAGGGCCAGGGCCACCGGGCUCUCUGGCCGUACCUCCAAUUUAGGUGCCGGAGACCAGGUCUGCCCCCCGCCCUGCGCCUCCGCUGCCGUCCCGUGCCCCGUGUGCGCGGGAGCCGUGGAGCUGCAGGCCGCUGUGUGGGACGCGGGCCGUGGGAUGGCUUCUGCUUGGACCCGUUAAGCAGACGCCAUGGCCAGGACCUGUCGACCCUCUUGGACACAGCCUCUGGGGCCUGGGGUGCCUUCUCCAAUUCUAGUACACUCCUGCCCCUGCCCCCCAGCAUUAAAGUUUCCCCCAGUGGUAGGAAAGGGCCAGGUCAUAGGCCCAUGGGAGGAGAUGGGGGCCCCAGGGGUCCCCCAUGGAUGAGUGUGGUUUGGGGUUCACAUUUGGCUCCCACAGACUGAUGAACUGAGGCUCUGAGGCCCAGGGAUGGGUCAGGGGCUCGGGCCCAGAAUCCGGACUUGCUGUCAUUGCCUUUCUUAGCACUGCACAAUCCUGAGCCCCACCCGAACCCCUCGCCCUCCCUGGAGCCCUCUGAUGCCUUUAGAGCAAACAUGUCCCAGCUCUGAAACUUGCUCUUCUUUGUCCUGGGUUGGGACCUUUCUCACCCCAGCAGAUCAAUCAAGAUUAGAUCACUGCAAUGAAACUGCGGGCUCCAGCCAGACCUUCUGCCAAAUGAGAAAAGCCAAGGGAAGUGGGGCGGUCAGAGCGAGGAAACUUUGUCUGCAGGUCUCCCCGACUCCUGCGGCUGAGGGUCCCGGCCCUGGGGUCAUGGGGCCUGCUCUUGCCAACCAGCCAAGCCAUGUCCCCCACACUCCAACAAGAACGAAGGCGGCCCAGUGACUGGUUGGGGCAUCUCCGCUUUCUGGCGAGGUGACUGAGGUGUCCCCUAGAUUAGGCCCCGGGGGACCCCACAAGAAUCUACCCCUCCCAGCCCCUGGUAUUUGAAGUGACUUUUUUUAAUUAGGAAAAAUAAUCACCCGUGAGACCUUCUCCCCCGGAAACGUGGACAGACGAUAAUUAACAUCCAAGCCCAGAGCCCCCCUGAAGCCAGCCUUUGAGGAUCUGGGGAGGCCGGAAGGCACUUGUCCCUGUGCCUUGGGGAUUUUGUGCUCUUUCUGGGAACCUGACCGGGGUCUGGCACUUGGGGAAACUGUCUCCCCCGGCCGGUUCCUGCUUGGGUUUCAGGAAGCGGGGCAGCCGCCUUAAACCCCUGAGGCCCCAGCUAAUUGUUCCUUUGAGUGCAGGUUACCCCAUGCCUUGGUUCCUUGCUUACUGCAGCCCCUCUUUCCUGCAUAGAUGCGGCUUUUAGCUGCACCCCAUUCUCCCAAUUUGGGGAGGUCCCAAUGGCCUCCUAUGGUCUUCUAGGCACCCAGAGCCUACUGGGCUCUUAUUGUGGAGUCGGCCCUGGCGCCUCAGGAGAGCUGGCCCUACUAGGUGGGAAGCCAGAGUUACCAGAGGCCAGGAGAUGCGUCCCCCCACUUUUCCACCCUUCUAAGACUUGCUGCUUCUCUGCUUACUACCCUCACCUCUGUUUUCCGGCCCCCACCCCUCCAGCACUGAGUUCCAACCUGGCCCUCUGGGGGUGCCCUAGGCCAGUCCACACUUCCUCUGGGUGUCCCAGCACCAGUUUGGCAAAAGUGGGGUUCAGUAAGAGUAUGUGGGAUGUCUGUUUGGACAGAUGAGUCCAUGAAGGAACUUGACCGCACACUUAAGAUGCCAGGCGGGAGUCUCUGGGAAGAUAAGGAUUAGGCCAAAAGGGUGGAGGCGGAUUUGGUCUGACAAGGAGCCCCCUUUGAGCGGGGCCAGCCGGUCUCACCCCUUCAUUCACUCAUGCGUUCAUCCCGUCAGCCAACAGUCGAUCCUUGCCGAUCAAGCCCACGCCCGGCAGGGGCUGGACACCCGCCACACUAGCGCGCCCCUUGGCGGCCUCUGUCUCCCAGUGCGGGCGGCUGGGGGGCGGCUCCCUGCGGGUGGCCUCGGCCCUUCGGGGCGCUGCGCGGUCGACUCCGGCUCUGUUAGGGAAGGCAGGCAGGGGGGCGCAAGGGCUGCGGCUCGGCCUCCUUGGGCUGGUAGUGGCCUCCUUCGGCCCCGCUCAUCCUGCCCUCCCUGCCUCCCGCACCCCCUCCCAUAGCUCAGUGGAUGCCUGUUCUGGACCCACGGCCCUGCCCAGGACCGAGGUGGGAGAACAGAGAUAGAAGGUGUGUCCCCUCCUGCUCUGGCCAUUCAGGUCUCCCUCUUGAGUUGGGGUCUGAGCUGGACCCUGCCCUCUCUGCCUGCCCUGCCCCUCGGGGGUCGAUGAGGCGGCUCUGCCGUCACGUCACUGUUUGGGGCCUGUCCUGAUGCAAGGACCGUGGCCUGGAACCUCCAGGGAGCACCUGCAGGCUGACCCUGCCCGGCUGCCUCCGCACUCACACUGCUUGGCAGCUCCGCUCAGGUCUUGACUGCCCUUCGGGGCUCCGCUUGCCAGUCUUUCCCUGUCUGGCCCACUUGCCCCGUCUGUGCCCGAGCCACCAUGGCCCCCGGGACUCUGCUGCCCGGUCCCCUGCCUAACGGGUCAGUUUUCCUUGCUGGGCCUUCACCUGUGGCUCCCUGGCCCUGCCUGCUGCUCGCCACUGCUUGUCUUCUGCCCUGUCACUGGGUCCUCCCAGCUCAGGUUGCCCCACCUGCUGUGCUGCCCACCUUGCUGACUGGCCCCUCCUCUGGGGCACUGCCUGGCCGGCACGCCCCUGGCCACUCUCAGCUGCCCCCUCCCAGGGUGUGGCCCAGUGGGCUGAGAUGGCGGCUGCUGCCCUUCCCCCUGCCUGACCCCUGGACCGGCCCCUGGCAGAUGGUCCUGGUCUCCUUGUAGGUCUAGGGCUGCCCCCAGGCCCGUUGCUUCUCUUCUUGACCAUCGCUGGUCUCCUCCCAUGUGCGCCACCUCCCUGCCCCGGAGCCAGACUGCAGGUCGCCCCAUCAGCUCUUGGCACACCGGCUGUGACCCACCCGGCUUGGCCCUGCGGCGCGGAGCAGCAGGAAGAGGCAGAAGAGCCCUGAGGACAGCGUCCAGCCCCGGCCCCCAGAUCAUCCGACGCCCCUCGCCUCCUGCUUUGGACGAAGUCACCCUCUGGAAUCCUCCACGGGAAGGGACCUUGGACACGUGAUCCCCGCACCCCCCUCCAGCUCUGAAUCGGCAGACUAGGAUGGAAGUGGCCCUGGGAGCUGGGGGCCCUUGAGAGGGCCAGGAAAAGCCCAGGCCGAGGGACCCGCCUCUCAAUGGGCUUGGAGCACCGAUGACCUUCGCUCUCCCCCUUGAAAUGUCUGGAAAACAGAACGGGCAGAUUUUCUGUCUUCAAAGUUUCCGGCUAAACCGCCUCAAGUUCUUUAUUGUUGGGACCGAGACACUCAGCAAUGCCUCCACAGCACGGGGACGCCCUGCACGCUUUCCCACGGGACAGGCUGGACCCAAAGACUCUGGACCUGGGGCUGCCCCCGCGAGGAGGGGCCCUCCCACCCGGCCUCCCCUUGAGUAACACUCCACCCUCUGACCGAUGGACUGCACUGAUCUGCCCCUGCCCGGCCCCUCGCGAACCCUGAGACUGGGGGUCACCAAGCCUCCCUUGUCCUCAUCUGUGAAAUGGGUUUGGACACCUGACUGUGCUUCAAUAAAUGUGUUCUUGCCUUAACAACUACGGUGAUGGAUGUGCUACUAAUCUGAGGAGGGAGUGGCCUUCGCCUCGGGUUGUGUGUUGGCUGGGGGUUGGGAGGAGCUGGCUGAGUCCCAGCAAGCCACCUGCCCCCACCCAUUGGGCACUCAGGGUGAUGGGGUGCCUGGGAGCAGAGCUGGCCUGGUGGGGUACUGGGGUUGAUGCACGUUGGGUGAACUAACCUGGGUGCCCCCUUCUUCUAAUAGUUGUGGGAUGCCAGGUUUCUUUCCAGAAGGAAGUGUAGACAGGAGGUGGAGGAAGU